rnacentral:rRNA from 1 species
ACGCACGCUGGCGGCGUGCCUAAUACAUGCCAGUCGCGCGGACCGAACAGGAGCUUGCUCUUGUUCGGUUAGCGGCGGACGGGUGAGUAACACGUGGGUAACCUGCCCGUAAGACCGGGAUAACUCCGGGAAACCGGAGCUAAUACCGGAUAACACCGAAGACCGCAUGGUCUUUGGUUGAAAGGCGGCUUCGGCUGCCACUUACGGAUGGGCCCGCGGCGCAUUAGCUAGUUGGUGAGGUAACGGCUCACCAAGGCGACGAUGCGUAGCCGGCCUGAGAGGGUGACCGGCCACACUGGGACUGAGACACGGCCCAGACUCCUACGGGAGGCAGCAGUAGGGAAUCUUCCGCAAUGGACGAAAGUCUGACGGAGCGACGCCGCGUGAGCGAAGAAGGUCUUCGGAUCGUAAAGCUCUGUUGUUAGGGAAGAAGAAGCGUCGUUCGAACAGGGCGGCGCGGUGACGGUACCUAACGAGAAAGCCCCGGCUAACUACGUG